GUCACCCUGCGAUGCCCGUGAACCACUUGACGGGUUUGAGCCAACACAAAUCACUCGGAAGCAGAUACCCUGUGGAUACGAGCGCUUCGCAGUGUUCUUGAAGCAGGGAACUUUGUGCUCCCACCUGCUUAGGCAGGUUCAAAAGCUUCGUCAAGGCACGACCUUGUGGGGUGGCC
rnacentral:other from 1 species